rnacentral:rRNA from 1 species
GAUUUAGCUGGCUUCUAGUGGCGGACGGGUGAGUAACGCGUGGGUAACCUGCCNNNNNNNGGGGGAUAACAGUCAGAAAUGGCUGCUAAUACCGCAUAAGCGCACAGAGCUGCAUGGCUCAGUGUGAAAAAAUCCGGUGGUAUAAGAUGGACCCGCGUUGGAUUAGCUAGUUGGUGGGGUAACGGCCCACCAAGGCGACGAUCCAUAGCCGGCCUGAGAGGGUGAACGGCCACAUUGGGACUGAGACACGGCCCAGACUCCUACGGGAGGCAGCAGUGGGGAAUAUUGCACAAUGGGGGAAACCCUGAUGCAGCGACGCCGCGUGAAGGAAGAAGUAUCUCGGUAUGUAAACUUCUAUCAGCAGGGAAGAUAGUGACGGUACCUGACUAAGAAGCCCCGGCUAACUACGUGCCAGCAGCCGCGGUAAUACGUAGGGGGCAAGCGUUAUCCGGAUUUACUGGGUGUAAAGGGAGCGUAGACGGUGUGGCAAGUCUGAUGUGAAAGGCAUGGGCUCAACCUGUGGACUGCAUUGG